rnacentral:rRNA from 1 species
UACGUAGGGGGCAAGCGUUGUCCGGAUUCAUUGGGCGUAAAGAGCGUGUAGGCGGCCAUACAGGUCAGCUGUGAAAACUCGAGGCUCAACCUCGAGACGUCGGUUGAAACCGUAUGGCUAGAGUCCGGAAGAGGAGAGUGGAAUUCCCGGUGUAGCGGUGAAAUGCGCAGAUAUCGGGAAGAACACCUAUGGCGAAGGCAGCUCUCUGGGACAGUACUGACGCUGAGACGCGAAAGCGUGGGGAGCGAACAGG